rnacentral:lncRNA from 1 species
CCUGACCAUUCUACUAAGGCAAAAUGACCCUUUUCACUGGUCAGGACAUGACAGUGACUCCGGGCUGCAGACCGUCGCUGAAGACUCCGGGCUGCAGACCAUCGCUGAAGGCCCCGGGCUGAGAGGCGUCGCUGGAGGCUCCGGGCUGAGGAGCGUCGCUGGAGGCUCUGGACUGAGGACCUUUGCUGCAGGCUCCGCGCCAUGGCUCAUCACUGGAGGCUUUGUGCCAUGGCUCAUCACUGGAGGCUCCGGGCCAUGGGUUAUCACUGGAGGCUUCGUGCCAUGGAUCAUCCCUACAGGCUCCGGGCCAUGGAUCAUCACUGGAGGCUUCAUGCCAUGGAUUAUCGUUGGAGGCUUCGGACCGUUGAUCAUUACUGGAGGCUUCCUACGGGGAGCUGGAACCGGUCUCACCAGACUGGGGAGACGCACAGGAGACUUGGUGCGCAGAGCAGGCACAGGGCACACUGGGCCGUGGAGGCGCACCGGAGGUCUGGAGCUCAGGGCUGGCACACCCCGUCCUGGCUGGAUGGUCACUGUAGCCCAGCACAGUGCCGGGCUACAGUGCCACGCAUGGGGGUUGGUCACUGGUCAGGACGUAACAGGAACUAGUGAGUGACCAAUGGGAGUAGUUAUUUUCCAUCAGGCUUGUCUACUAUUCAAUCAUUUAAGAUAGUGUUUUCUCAUCUGCCUCACAUUUGUGUGCAUUCUCUCUCUCUCUCUCUCUCUCUCUCUCUCUCUCUCUCUCAAUUUUUCAAUUCAAUUUCAAUUUAAGGGCUUUAUUGGCAUGGGAAACAUAUGUUAACAUUGCCAAAGCAAGUAAAGUAGAUAAUAAACAAAAGUGAAACAAACAUACAUUAAACAUUACAUUCACAAAAGUUCCAAAAGAAUAAAGACAUUUCAGAUGUCCUAUUAUGUAUAUAUACAGUGUUGUAACAAUUAUUUGUAUUUAAAAAAUAAAAAAUAAUAUUUCACCUUUAUUUAACCAGGUAGGCCAGUUGAGAACAAGUUCUCAUUUACAACUGUGACCUGGCCAAGAUAAAGCAAAGCAGUGCGACACAAACAACAACACAGAGUUACACAUGGAAUAAAACAAACGUACAGUCAGGGUAAUGCAGAACGCCACAGGAUGUUUUUGUGUUGGUUAAGGGCAGUCAGGUCUGGAGAGAACCAAGGGCUAUAUCUGUUCCUGGUUCUAAAUUUCUUGAAUGGGGCAUGCUUAUUUAAGAUGGUGAGGAAGGCAUUUAAAAAAAAUAACCAGGCAUCCUCUACUGACAGGAUGAGGUCAAUAUCCUUCCAGGAUACCCGGGCCAGGUGGAUUAGAAAGGCUUGCUCGCUGAAGUGUUUUAGGGAGCGUUUGACAGUGUUGAGGGGUGGUCGUUUGACUGCGAACCCAUUACGGACGCAGGCAGUGAUCGCUGAGAUCCUGGUUGAAGACAGCAGAGGUUUAUUUAGAGGGCAGGUUGGUCAGGAUGAUAUCUAUGAGGGUGCCCCAGUUUAGGUCACCUAACAGUACAAGCUCUGAAGAUAAAUGGGGUCAAUUAAU